GUUAUUUUUGGCUGGAUGUGGUGGCUCAUGCCUCUAAUCCCAGCACUUUGGGAGCCUGAGGCAUGUGGAUCACAUGAGGUCAGGAGUUUGAGACCCGCCUGGCCAACAUGGUGAAACCCUGUCUCUACUAAAAAUACAAACAUUAGUGUGGUGGUGGGUGCCUGUAAUCCCAGCUACUCAGAAGACUGAGGCAGGAGAAUCGCUUGAACCCGGAAGGUGGAGGUUGCAGUGUUGCAGUGAGCCAAGACCACACCAUUAUACUCCAGCCUGGGUGACAAGAGCAAAACUCUGUCUUAAGAAAAAAAAAAGUUAUUUUUACACAGAUUAUAAAUUAUUGUGAAAAGGCCCCUGGCUAUUUAAUGAAAGGAAAACAGCCUGUAUAUAUGGAUAUAGAGUUCAAGGUCACCAGAGGACAACAGAUGCUAUAAGAGUGUGGUGUAGUUAUAAAGGGAACAUUUCUUUCUGACAUGGAUUAAGGUUGAUUUAAUAACAAAUUAAUAUUUAAAUGAAGUACAAAGGGAAUUUUUGGCACAUGAAAGCCAAGGCCAGAGGAGGUGUCCUCCGUGUGGUGUCUCACUGUCUGGGCAUGGCAGGAGUCCCUUUCCUUCAUCGUUUCUGAGCCCAAAAGCUUUGAUGGGACAGGGUCAAGGGAGGUGCUGUGGAGUCCUAAUAGCCCUGGAUAUGGUCAGAGGGAGCCACCGCCCUGCUUCCUAUCAACACUCAUUCCAGUUUGCUCUCCUUCCAGCUCAAAGCAGAACUCCUGGACAUUGCCAUGGAGAACCAGACCCUCAAUGAGACCCUGGGUUCUUUGUCGGAUGCAGUUGUAGGUUUGACCUACAGCCAACUGGAAUCCCUCUCCCCCGAGGCUGUGCACGGAGCCAUCUCCACCCUCAACCAGGUCUCAGGUUGGGCCAAGAGCCAGGUCAUCAUCUUGUCUGCCAAAUACUUGGCCCAUGAGAAGGUGCUGUCUUUCUACAAUGUCAGCCAGAUGGGUGCACUGCUGGCUGGGGUCAGCACCCAGGCCUUCUGCAGCAUGAAACGCAAGGACAUCUCGCAGGUCCUGAGAAGUGCCGUCUCCCAGUAUGUAUCCGACUUGUCACCUGCCCAGCAGCAAGGUAUCCUCAGCAAGGUGAGAGGAAGGUGUCUGGUGCUCAGCCACAUGUCACAGGGGGUAUGUUUUUGGGGUUGGUGAGUGGGCUGUGACUUUGGGCCAUGAACCCAGGGCUGGGAUUGUCUCAGCUGUUGGUGUCUGGGGUGGCUCUGCCUUCUCCUGGUGGCACACCUUCCUUCCUUUCCAGACGGAGCCCUUCAGUCAUGCUGUCAUUCUUCCCAGACCCCUUUGUUCUGCCAGACAGUCUAAUCUGGAAGACUUUUCUUAAAUCAGGUUUCCUGAUCUUAUAACACUUCAGGUUCAAGUGUUUUUUUUUUUUUUUUUUGAGACAGUCUUUCUGUGUUGCCCAGGCUGGAGUACAGUGGUAUGAUCAUAGCUCACCACAGUCUCCUGGGCUCAAGCAAUCCUCCUGCCUCAACCUCCUGAGUAGCUGGGACCACAGGCAUACAUCACCAUGCCUGGCUAAUUUUUUUAACUUUUUGUAGAGACAUGGUCUUGCUAUGUUGCGCAGGCUAGUCUCAAACUCCUGGCCUCAAGCCACCAUGUCUGGCUAAUUUAUUAAUUUUGUAGAG
ensembl:lincRNA